UCUAACAUGUGCGCGAGUCUCGGUGCUAUCAAACACCAAGGCGUAGUGAAAGCGAAGGCUUGCCUUCGUGCUUGCUGAGGGGAGAUCCGUCGUUGGCCUAACCCGCCGCGGCGGCGCAUCCCCGGGGCGUUUGCGAAGGGCUCCGGCUUGCCGGGGCCCGGGCAGGCGCACCUAGAGCGCACAUGUUGGGACCCGAAAGAUGGUGACCUAUGCCCGGCCAGGACGAAGCCAGGGGAAACUCUGGUGGAGGUCCGCAGCGAUUCUGACGUGCAAAUCGAUCGUCUGAGCCGGGUAUAGGGGCGAAAGACUAAUCGAACCAUCUA
rnacentral:rRNA from 1 species